UACGAAGGGGGCUAGCGUUGCUCGGAAUGACUGGGCGUAAAGGGCGCGUAGGCGGCCUUCUAAGUCGAACGUGAAAUCCCUGGGCUCAACCCAGGAACUGCGUCCGAUACUGGAAGGCUUGAAUCCGGGAGAGGGAUGCGGAAUUCCAGGUGUAGCGGUGAAAUGCGUAGAUAUCUGGAGGAACACCGGUGGCGAAGGCGGCAUCCUGGACCGGUAUUGACGCUGAGGCGCGAAAGCCAGGGGAGCAAACGGG
rnacentral:rRNA from 1 species